CGUUUCUCCGCCGGCGACCGGCGCACCGGGUGAGUAACACGUAUGCAAACCUGACCCCUGUCACGGGGGACAACCCGCCGAAAGGCGGGCUAAACCCGCGUACAUGCCACCGGGGCAUCCCCGGAGGCAGGAAAGGCUUCGGCCGGACAGGGAUGGGCAUGCGGCGCAUUAGGCAGUAGGCGGGGUAACGGCCCACCUAACCGACGAUGCGUAGGGGUUCUGAGAGGAAGGUCCCCCACACUGGUACUGAGACACGGACCAGACUCCUACGGGAGGCAGCAG
rnacentral:rRNA from 1 species